rnacentral:rRNA from 1 species
AUUGAACGCUGGCGGCAGGCCUAACACAUGCAAGUCGAGCGAGCGGCGGACGGGGGAGGAAUGUAUGGGGACUGCCCGAUAGAGGGGGAUAACUACUGGAAACGGUAGCUAAUACCGCAUACUAUCGGAUAACCCAUAUGGGAUUAGGUAGUAGGUGAGGUAAUGGCUCACCUAGGCGACGAUCCCUAGCUGGUCUGAGAGGAUGAUCAGCCACACUGAGACUGAGACCCGGCCCAGACUCCUACGGAGGCAGCAGUGGGGAAUAUUGCACAAUGGGCGCAAACCUGAUGCAGCCAUGCCGCGUGGAUGAAGAAGGCCGUAGGGUUGUAAAGUACUUUCAGUCGGGAGGCGUUACCGACAGAAGAAGCACCGGCUAACUCCGUGCCAGCAGCCGCGGUAAUAG